ACACCAAAUCCCAAAUACUUUUUAAUUCUCUUACCUCCAGGUCUUUGCCUAGAACAUAACCCCUCCCCUCUUCACCAAGUUAGCUCAUUUGCCUUCCAGGUGUCACCUCAGAUGUUACUUCCUCCAAAUGUCUACCCUGGUCACCCAAGGCUACGCUGGGUAUCCUUCUGUCUUCUGAGUAUCCUAGGUUUAUUCUAUCUUCUCUCCUGUCAUUUUGUUUUGUAAUUGCCUGUUUCCAUGUAU
rnacentral:lncRNA from 1 species